rnacentral:rRNA from 1 species
AUUGAACGCUGGCGGCAGGCUUAACACAUGCAAGUCGAGCGGGGAAGGGUAGCUUGCUACCUAACCUAGCGGCGGACGGGUGAGUAAUGCUUAGGAAUCUGCCAUUUAGUGGGGGACAACAUUCCGAAAGGAAUGCUAAUACCGCAUACGUCCUACGGGAGAAAGCAGGGGAUCUUCGGACCUUGCGCUAAAUGAUGAGCCUAAGUCGGAUUAGCUAGUUGGUGGGGUAAAGGCCUACAAAGGCGACGAUCUGUAGCGGGUCUGCGAGGAUGAUCCGCCACACUGGGACUGAGACACGGCCCAGACUCCUACGGGAGGCAGCAGUGGUGAAUAUUGGACAAUGGGCGGAAGCCUGAUCCAGCCAUGCCGCGUGUGUGAAGAAGGCCUUAUGGUUGUAAAGCACUUUAAGCGAGGAGGAGGCUACUUAGAUUAAUACUCUAGGAUAGUGGACGUUACUCGCAGAAUAAGCACCGGCUAACUCUGUGCCAGCAGCCGCGGUAA